CUACGGGCGGCAGCAGUGAGGAAUAUUGCACAAUGGGGGGAACCCUGAUGCAGCAACGCCGCGUGGAGGAUGACGCAUUUCGGUGUGUAAACUCCUUUUAUAUGUCAAGAAAAUGACGGUAGCAUAUGAAUAAGCACCGGCUAACUCCGUGCCAGCAGCCGCGGUAAUACGGAGAGUGCAAGCGUGUACUCGGAAUCACUGGGCGUAAAGGACGCGUAGGCGGGUUGGAAAGUCAGGUGUGAAAUCCUACAGCUUAACUGUAGAACUGCACUUGAAACUUCUAAUCUAGAGUAUGGGAGGGGGAGAUGGAAUUAGUGGUGUAGGGGUAAAAUCCGUAGAUAUCACUAGGAAUACCUAAAGCGAAGGCGAUCUCCUGGAACAUUACUGACGCUAAGGCGUGAAAGCGUGGGGAGCAAACAGGAUUAGAUACCCCGGUAGUC
rnacentral:rRNA from 1 species